rnacentral:rRNA from 1 species
GACGAGGGGUCCUAGCGUUGUUCGGAAUCAUUGGGCGUAAAGCGGGUGCAUGUGGCUUUGUAAGUCAGGUGUGAAAGCCCAGGGCUCAACCCUGGAAGUGCAUUUGAUACUGCGAAGCUUGAGUGCUGGAGAGGUAAGUAGAAUUCCUGGUGUAGUGGUGAAAUACGUAGAUAUCAGGAGGAACACCGGAGGCGAAGGCGGCUUACUGGGAAGACACUGACACUCAGACCCGAAAGCGUGGGGAUCAAACAGG